CGAGUUUACAACUCCCAAACCCCUGUGAACAUACCACUUGUUGCCUCGGCGGAUCAGCCCGCUCCCGGUAAAACGGGACGGCCCGCCAGAGGACCCUAAACUCUGUUUCUAUAUGUAACUUCUGAGUAAAACCAUAAAUAAAUCA
rnacentral:misc_RNA from 1 species